AGCCUAUUCCUGCUCUUUUCCCAAGGAUUAUCAAACACAUUUGGUGUGUGUCAUCAUAGUGGUCUCUGAUUUGUGGUCAGACUCGCUCAGAUGGAACAAACUUAAGCCUUUUUUCAAUGUUGAUUUGAAUGUCAUUGAGAAAACAAAGCAGUGUGAAAUAUUUUUUUUCCGCAAACAUCCUUUCUGAAUUUAAACGUAUCUGUAAUCUGAUGACAAUAUUUUUACUGUGUUUAACAGGUGUAAAGAAUUCCCCCAGCACGAAUGAGCACGUCCUCAUGAGUGCAUUCAAGGAUCAACAGCGGGAUGACAUCUACAACCUGAAGGAAAAGAUGAAAACCGUGCAGGAAAGGAGUGAUGAUGCAAAGGUAUAUGUGGACCUGCUGAAGAAAGACCGACAAUGAAAACAAAAUUCACAAUGAUUUUAAGUCAAAAUGUUUCUCUUAUUGCAAUUUCACAAAUGUAUGUUAUAGCUGAAAUGUGACAUUUUACUUGUUACAGAGACAAUGCACUCCUCUUAGGGAGUGUAACUUUCCUUUGUGGCUGUGAAAAUAUCUUGUUUCAGUUCCUUUUUAUGUCUGUUAUCCCCACAGAUCAACCCGACGGUAGCUUUUUCAGUUGGACUUGAUGAAGUUUGUACCUUUUUAUUAUACAGUGCAUUCAGACCGUUGACUUUUUCCAC
rnacentral:lncRNA from 1 species